rnacentral:rRNA from 1 species
GUGUCAGCAGCCGCGGUAAUACGGAGGGUGCAAGCGUUGUCCGGAUUUAUUGGGUUUAAAGGGUGCGUAGGCGGCUAUUUAAGUCAGCGGUGAAAGACUCCGGCUUAACCGGAGCAGUGCCAUUGAUACUGGAUAGCUUGAGUGUUGGAGGGGUACAUGGAAUUGAUGGUGUAGCGGUGAAAUGCAUAGAUACCAUCAGGAACACCGAUAGCGAAGGCAUUGUACUGGCCAACAACUGACGCUGAGGCACGAAAGUGUGGGGAUCGAACAGGAUUAGAAACCCCAGUAGUCC